GCAGUCUGCAACUCGACUGCAUGAAGCUGGAAUCGCUAGUAAUCGCGAAUCAGAAUGUCGCGGUGAAUACGUUCCCGGGCCUUGUACACACCGCCCGUCACACCAUGGGAGUUGGAAGCACCCGAAGUCGGUGACCUGACCGAAAGGGAGGAGCCGCCGAAGGUGAAGCCAGCGACUGGGGUGAAGUCGUAACAAGGUAAC
rnacentral:rRNA from 1 species